rnacentral:misc_RNA from 2 species
ACACCCUCAAGCCUAGCUUGGUGUUGGGCGUCUGUCCCGCCGAUUUCGCGCGCGGACUCGCCUCAAAGUCAUUGGCGGCGGUCGUGCCGGCUCCUCGCGCAGCACAUUUGCGCUUCUCGGAGGCCCGGCGGAUCCGCGCUCCAGCAAAGACCUUUCAUG